AGAAAACAGUGGCGACACAAGGCCUGGGAGCUUGUAUUUUGCAAACAGUUGCAGAUGUUACAGACACAGCUCUAGUGGGUGCAUGGGUCGGGGAUGCGGAGAGUGGGAGAUCCAGCUUCCUGGCCCACGGACACAAGGCCCACAGCCACACUGCACUGCAGGGAAGGACAGGACUAACUUUGCAUCUUUGACCAGCUGACCCAACUCAAGACAGGCGCAGGACCGUCCUCCUGGAGUGAAGGAGUCCUCAGCGGGGAGGUACGUGUCUGACCCCUGCGGACCAGAGAGGUUAAGUGAUUCCCCAAAGUCACACAGAUUGCAAUGCCAGACAUGGAAAUCACUGGACUAUCGGUCUUCCAACCUCAUUCUCUGGAGAGCUCAAGUUCACAUGAGAGAGUGGGGGUCGCUGUGAGUGCCAGGAGCAGCAGGGCACCUGCAUCUUCA